rnacentral:rRNA from 1 species
UACGGAGGAUGCAAGCGUUAUCCGGAAUGAUUGGGCGUAAAGCGUCCGCAGGUGGCGAUGUAAGUCUGCUGUUAAAGAGUGAGGCUCAACCUCAUAAGAGCAGUGGAAACUACAUAGCUAGAGUGCGUUCGGGGCAGAGGGAAUUCCUGGUGUAGCGGUGAAAUGCGUAGAGAUCAGGAAGAACACCGGUGGCGAAGGCGCUCUGCUAGGCCGCAACUGACACUGAGGGACGAAAGCGUGGGGAGCGAACAGG